rnacentral:rRNA from 1 species
UGGUGCAUGGUUGUCGUCAGCUCGUGUCGUGAGAUGUUGGGUUAAGUCCCGCAACGAGCGCAACCCUCGACCUUAGUUGCCAGCAUUCAGUUGGGCACUCUAAGGUGACUGCCGGCUAAAAGUCGGAGGAAGGUGGGAUGACGUCAAAUCAUCAUGCCCCUUAUGACCUGGGCUACACACGUGCUACAAUGGUUGGUACAACGAGUUGCGAGUCGGUGACGGCGAGCUAAUCUCUUAAAGCCAAUCUCAGUUCGGAUUGUAGGCUGCAACUCGCCUACAUGAAGUCGGAAUCGCUAGUAAUCGCGGAUCAGCAUGCCGCGGUGAAUACGUUCCCGGGCCUU